CUUUUGCUGGACUCUAUUUAGUGUUUCAUUAAAAAGUAAACAAAUGUUUGUUGUAUUUGGGCAUGUAAGUGAGCUAUGGCCAAACCUUGUCUUGUUCUGAGAAGAGACAUACUCAGUACUGCAUGGAUCUGAUGAAAUCUACCACCCCUGUUGGCAGAAAAGUGAUCGAUUGAGAGCACAUGCUCUUGAACCACCUCAACAAGGAUUACCAAUUAUUGUUUUACCGAACUGGAAAAGAAGACCAGAUACCUAAGGCCAUUAUUUUUUUUUAGACUAACUCACUGGAAAGAUUAUUAUUAGAUAAGAUAAGCCUUUAUUAACUGAAUUAAAUUACAUUAAUGCUAUGUACAUAUAGUAUUAUAUUUCAAACAAAUAAAUAAUAUUUUAGUUUUUGA